CGCUCUCUGAAGGGUCCGGGGCUCCUCAGCUCCGCCCGGGCUCCGGCCACGCCUCGGAGUGUUCCCGCGGGCUGAGCGGGGCAGCGGGACGCGCUGAGGUGUCCUCAGGGCCCCAAGCCUCCGGCAGGCUCUUUCUCAGCCGGUGGCAGCCCGUGGGAAGCGAGGGGUCCCUGCAGCCGCUCCCUCAGCCGCUCUUGGGCGAGGGGCACGGGCUCCGCCAUGGGCGUCCGGGCGCUCGUCACUGGGGAGCGGAAACGUUAAGGGGAAAAAAAAAAAAUAUAGGGCAUACCUGAAGUUCGCUGGCCCUUUGGUACAAAUCCAGUGUGUCCAUCGUCAUUUUGCGGACUUCAAUGUGCAGUAUGUGCAUGAGGAAGUUUAUUGCUGCGAAAAUGGCAUGUAUUGAUGUCAGCACAGCUGAUUAAUCACAACUCUUCUCUGAGAGUUUAAUUUCCCAGACCAGCUCCCAUCUCCAGCAUGCUCAUAUUCCUGAGACUGGCACAGGUUUUUCUCCUAAGUGUGAUCUGCACAUUUUGAUGGAAAUCUGCAGCUGAUUUAUCUCCGCUUUGCUGAAGCGAAGGUGUGUGGUGUUUAACAUGGUUGACCACCAGCUACUUUUUAGUCUCCUCUUCAACACUGCUAUUAAAACUUAACUCUCAUGUGCAGAGCUUUCUCAGUGUUUCAUUGAAGUACAGAAGACUGUUGAAGAACUCUGUGAUAAACACAGACUUUCUUAUCCAAUAUCCUGUUUUCAAAUGGGGCUUGACUGCUAGCUCUGCAGAAAUGAAUUAGCAGGGCAGACAACACAGGAAGAAUAGUGAAAUCUCCUUGGAUAUAUCUUUCUCUGUUGACCUAUAACAUGGUUCAUUUUAUCUGCUUUUUCAAAAUUCGUGCUGCUUGCUGAUUUGCACGAAAAGUCCAAUAAUGGCAGAGUGUUCACUUCUGUUAGAAAUCUGUGAAGAAAUACAGGAAAUACAAUAAUCAGAUGUAUUUCUCACAGGUCAAUGAAGAGCUACAAUGUCAUGUGCAGGUAAUAUUUGCACAGGAAUGACCUGGAGAAUGUGAACUAGCAGUCUGGCACAGUUAUACUCUGUUUCCACUAAUAACCACGGGAAGCAGCCCCUGUCAUGGUGUAAUGAUGUACUGCAUGCAGUGCUUAGAAUAUUAGAUCUUUAAUAUGGCGAAUGUGUCACUUUACAGAUGGCUUCACUGAAUUCAAUUCAGGUGUUCUUCAGUGAAUAAAGUUUUUUUCAUCUUGCCCU